rnacentral:rRNA from 1 species
GAUGAACGCUGGCGGCGUGCCUAAUACAUGCAAGUCGAGCGAACAGACGAGGAGCUUGCUCCUCUGAUGUUAGCGGCGGACGGGUGAGUAACACGUGGAUAACCUACCUAUAAGACUGGGAUAACUUCGGGAAACCGGAGCUAAUACCGGAUAAUAUAUUGAACCGCAUGGUUCAAUAGUGAAAGACGGUUUUGCUGUCACUUAUAGAUGGAUCCGCGCUGCAUUAGCUAGUUGGGCAGGUAACGGCUUACCAAGGCCACGAUGCAUAGCCGACCUGAGAGGGGGGUCGGCGACACAGGAACUGAGACGCGGGCCAGACUCCUACGGGAGGCAGCAGUAGGGAAUCUUCCGCAAUGGGCGAAAGCCUGACGGAGCAACGCCGCGUGAGUGAUGAAGGUCUUCGGAUCGUAAAACUCUGUUAUUAGGGAAGAACAAAUGUGUAAGUAACUGUGCACGUCUUGACGGUACCUAAUCAGAAAGCCACGGCUAACUACGUG